AUUGAUUAAUUGUAUAGAAAGUGUGUUGAGCCACUUUUAUUGACUUGUGAAGUUUGACAAUGUGUUUCGGUCUUUGACAAGGUUGAUUUGACUUUUGUUAGAUUAAAAUCAUUGGAUUUAGGGGAUUGAUGAAAUGUACAUUUCAUCUCCCAAAAUGAAUGAAUGAUUUUAAUUUGAUAAAAUUCCUCCCAUGACGAAUUUGUGUUUG
rnacentral:lncRNA from 1 species